UUCCUAGCAGCACUGGAGCUGCUAAGGCUGUAGGGAAAGUUCUGCCUGCUCUGAAUGGAAAGUUGACUGGAAUGGCUUUCCGUGUUCCCACUGUUGAUGUCUCAGUGGUUGACCUCACUGUGAGACUUGAGAAGAAGGCCACUUAUGAACAGAUUAAAGCAGCUAUCAAGUAAGGAUAAGGAAUCUUUCUUUUUCAAUUUCUGGUCCAUCCUAUAAGCUUUGUCGAAGAUUUUGAGAAAUUUCUUUUUAUUUUUGAAAAAGGGGGAAAAAAAAGGAGUAAAGGAUUAGGAUUGAUUCUUGAUUUAUAUAGUAGUGAUAAAUCACUAAUUUGCUUUAGUCGUAAUUAAACAUGAAUCAAAACUGCUAGGCAUGUUAUGUUUGAUCUUAUGAUUGGUUCACAUAAAUUGUAGAGUACGAUUCUUGUGGCAUGUGCUACAUGCUGGUCUGGUACUGGUAGCACCUUAGCCUUUCAUCUGGUUGUUAUACAGGGAAGAAUCUGAGGGAAAGCUGAAAGGAAUCCUUGGUUACACUGAAGAUGAUGUUGUGUCAACUGACUUUGUGGGUGACAGCAGG
rnacentral:misc_RNA from 1 species